UUGAAGUUUGGUUUCCUAAUCUACUACUACUAGACAUUAAAACAAUUUUAAAAUAGCCUGAAGUUGAAGUGGUUCAGAUUGGUACAAGUAACCUUUGGAUAAAGAUAGUUUGCCAGAAGAAAAGAGGUGGAUUUACUAAACUGAUGGAGGCAAUGAAUGUUCUUGGAUUUGAUCUCAAUGACACCAGUGUCACUGCCUCAAAAGGAACACUUCUUGUUACUUCAUCUGUGGAGGUGGUUCGCGGUGGGCUAAUUGAAGCUCAUCAAAUCAGAGAGAUCUUGCUGGAGAUCAUCCGCGGAAUCUAGAAAAAUGAAAAUCCUAGCAGGAAUUUGUUAGCUAUGGAUGCCAAAAGGAUUCAAUUUUUAUAUUUCCCAAUUCCCAUCAUUGAAAAAUAACAAUCCCUUUAUAUCCAAAUUGUCUUAAAAGAGCUUGUUUGAACUCUUGUUUUCAGCAGCAUA